rnacentral:sRNA from 1 species
AUCUCUAAUAUUCUUUGGUCUAAAACUGGCAGCAGCUGGUGAUCCAGAGGUCUCAUGGCAGAAUGAAGGAAUUUACCAAAGCCAAGCCCUUGGACACUGGGCCCAUCUGUUUCUUUGAUCAGUUGAAACCUGAAUGGAAAGAUGGGAAAAGAUAACCUGUGAAGAAAGUUAUCCUACCCAAAAUGCACCUCAAGAGCUAAGUGUUGGAUCUUUCAACAUCCUUACUCAAAAUGGGAAAUUCUGAAGUGGAAGACAGUCCCCAGUAUAGCUGUGAAGAGACUACAAGUAGCCAUAAUUCAAAUAAAAAUAGAAGAAGCAAAGCAAAAAAAAAAGAGGGCGUCAACAAACAACUUAUCCGGUGCCACUAUGAGGACCUGGAAGGCGUGGAGGAGAGCAGGGAUCAGCAGUGCUCACAGAGUUUCCGGCUGGAGCUGCUGGAGAAGAUGCCUCAGAUGCCAAUUGUCAGAAAGGCUGACCCCAACAUGAAAAAAUUCCAUUAAGCUCUGGUGGAUGGCUCCUCUCUGACCUAACGAACAGUAGCAGUGAUGUUUAAUCAGGACAGAGGCCUGGUGAUCAGCAGAAAAGGAAACAUCAUAAGGGAAUGGACCUGGCCUUCAAAGGGAAUACUUGAUAAUCCAGAGGAAAUUUGGGAUUAAUUCAAGCACUUCUGAGCUGCCAGUCUGAGGUUCCUCUUCCCAUUGAAAGCAAGGAUACCUGGUUUGCUUCCCAGCUGGUUUGUCCCAUGGUCCUAAGGAGAACACUGUGCAGGGACACAGGACACACGUACCAGUGUAGCUCUCACAGCAUCCUGAAAGUGACAGACCUGGAGUAUGAUCACCUUAGAAGCAGCCAGAUGUCCUCUGCGGACCAGGUCAUCAUAGUCUAUGUCUUCUCCUUCAAGCAAAAGGACAAGACUAUCAAAGAAGUGGCCAAAGUAUAUAGGGAGCUGUAUACUUUUUUUUUUUUUUCCUGCUGGCUUCUCAACACCCUUUUUUUUCUUUUUUUUUAACUGAGAUAUGACAUUCAUAUAAUAAAGAUCACAAAUCUUAAGGG